CCGAGAUUUAAUUGAAAAUGUUAUCAGGUAUAUACAUGAUUUGGAGGUUGCUUCUACUCAAAAUAAUAAGUGCAUGGUUAGUCAUACUAGACCACAUUGUUAUAAGAUGCUGAAAGAUUUGAGAUGGGGAAAUGUUAGAAGACAAGUUUUAACUUAGCCAAGAUACAACCAAAAACAAAUAUGGACGAUGAAAAAUCAAUGGUUGAUAGAUGCACAAGUGAAAUGUGAAGUGACAACUUAUGCAACAACUUUUGAAAAUCAACAUGAAGAUGUUUCUACUCUCUUAAGAUCUCAUGAUAAAGAACUUUAUUGUUCCACGACUUACAUCUCCCACAUACGAAAUUGAUGAUGAGUUAGUAUCCAUUGCACUACUUACUGAAACAUCUUAUUGAGGGGAGUGUCUUGAUGCUACAACUAAGGGGGAGUGUGCUAAUGGUAUUACUAUAGGGGAAUUUCUCUUUUCCAUUCUUAUUGUUAUUAUUUGUUUUGUAUAUUCUUGAUGUUGCUUACAUGUUAUCACUUUUUAUGGUUGAUAAAACUUCAACUUAUGGAGAUGGUUAUUCAAUUGCAAUUGCCUAAUGUUCCUUUGGAUUUUUGUCCAAAACAGGGUGAUAGAAUAAACUGAGUUUGAGGGGAACUUGGAACUUGUUGUUGAUAUUUGUGUUAAAUUUAUUAGUUGAAGAAUUGGUUGCAUUGCUUUAGGUCAAAAAUAACAAAGAGGAAGAUUGCUGACCUAAACUUUUAAAGUGGUUGUUUAUGUGCCAAGGGAAGUGCCCACUUCCUCAAUCACUACGCCAGGCACAUAACUAGACUUAUUUGUUAGCAUGUUUGACCAAAAUAUUUUGAUGAUUUGGUUGCAUCUUUUUGAGGAUCUUGUGUAGCCAAUCUCAUGUUUAUCAUUAGGGAAAAGAUUGAAUCAAUCAAGAUUAUUUUUCAAAGAUUCUUAUGUGGUCUACUUACCUAUUAUAUUAAGAUAUGAAAUCCAUAAAGAUAUGAGUUGAGUUAA